rnacentral:rRNA from 1 species
AACGAACGCUGGCGGCAUGCCUAACACAUGCAAGUCGAACGAGACCUUCGGGUCUAGUGGCGCACGGGUGCGUAACGCGUGGGAACCUGCCCUUAGGUUCGGAAUAGCUCCCCGAAAGGGGUGCUAAUACCGGAUAAUGUCUUCGGACCAAAGAUUUAUCGCCUUUGGAUGGGCCCGCGUUGGAUUAGCUAGUUGGUAGGGUAAAAGCCUACCAAGGCGACGAUCCAUAGCUGGUCUGAGAGGAUGAUCAGCCACACUGGGACUCAGACACGGCCCAGACUCCUACGGGAGGCAGCAGUGGGGAAUAUUGGACAAUGGGCGAAAGCCUGAUCCAGCAAUGCCGCGUGAGUGAUGAAGUCCUUAGGGUUGUAAAGCUCUUUUACCCGGGAUGAUAAUGACAGUACCGGGAGAAUAAGCUCCGGCUAACUCCGUG